GAUGAACGCUGGCGGCGUGCUUAACACAUGCAAGUCGAACGAGAGAAGAUUGGUGCUUGCACUGAUCCGAUCGAGUGGCGGACGGGUGAGUAACGCGUGGGUAACCUGCCUCAUACAGGGGAAUAACAGUUGGAAACGGCUGCUAAAACCGCAUAAGCGCACAGUAUCGCAUGAUACAGUGUGAAAAACUCCGGUGGUAUGAGAUGGACCCGCGUCUGAUUAGCUAGUUGGUGAGGUAACGGCCCACCAAGGCAACGAUCAGUAGCCGGCCUGAGAGGGUGAACGGCCACAUUGGGACUGAGACACGGCCCAAACUCCUACGGGAGGCAGCAGUGGGGAAUAUUGCACAAUGGGGGAAACCCUGAUGCAGCGACGCCGCGUGAGUGAUGAAGUAUUUCGGUAUGUAAAGCUCUAUCAGCAGGGAAGAU
rnacentral:rRNA from 1 species